GGGUGUGUGGCUCAGUAGUAAAGCAUGUGCUCAGGAUGCAUAAAGUCCUGGGUUUAAUUCCCAGCACAAACCA
rnacentral:tRNA from 1 species